rnacentral:rRNA from 1 species
AGGGGGUCUGUCCACUCGCCUAAAAAGCGGGUGUUAGCAAGGGCCGGGCAAGACCGGUGCCAGCCGCCGCGGUAAUACCGGCGGCUCGAGUGGUGGCCGAUAUUAUUGAGUCUAAAGGGUCCGUAGCCGGCUUUGCAAGUCUCUCGGGAAAUCCAGCGGCUUAACCGUAGGUCGU